UAAGCCAAUGAGCAGUACUGGGCAUA
rnacentral:piRNA from 1 species